rnacentral:rRNA from 1 species
AUUGAACGCUGGCGGCAGGCUUAGCACAUGCAAGUCGAGCGGAGAUGAGGUGCUUGCACCUUAUCUUAGCGGCGGACGGGUGAGUAAUGCUUAGGAAUCUGCCUAUUAGUGGGGGACAACAUUCCGAAAGGAAUGCUAAUACCGCAUACGCCCUACGGGGGAAAGCAGGGGAUCUUCGGACCUCGCGCUAAUAGAUGAGCCUAAGUCGGAUUAGCUAGUUGGUGGGGUAAAGGCCUACCAAGGCGACGAUCUGUAGCGGGUCUGAGAGGAUGAUCCGCCACACUGGGACUGAGACACGGCCCAGACUCCUACGGGAGGCAGCAGUGGGGAAUAUUGGACAAUGGGCGGAAGCCUGAUCCAGCCAUGCCGCGUGUGUGAAGAAGGCCUUUUGGUUGUAAAGCACUUUAAGCGAGGAGGAGGCUACCUGGAUUAAUACUCUAGGAUAGUGGACGUUACUCGCAGAAUAAGCACCGGCUAACUCUGUGCCAGCCGCCGCCGUAAGAC